UAAGGAAUAUUGCGCAAUGGACGAAAGUCUGACGCAGCAACGCCGCGUGCAGGAUGAAGGCCCUUUGGGUUGUAAACUGCUGUAGCAGGGGAAUAAGUUCUCCCACGGGGAGAGUGAAGGUACCCUGAAAGUAAGCGCCGGCUAACUACGUGCCAGCAGCCGCGGUAAUACGUAGGGCGCAAGCGUUGUCCGGAUUCACUGGGUGUAAAGGGUGCGCAGGCGGGAAGGUAAGUUAGAGGUGAAAUCUCACGGCUCAACCGUGAAACUGCCUUUGAUACUGCUUUUCUUGAGUUAGGGAGAGGUUGAUGGAAUUCCAGGUGUAGCGGUGAAAUGCGUAGAUAUCUGGAAGAACACCGGUGGCGAAGGCGGUCAACUGGCCCUAAACUGACGCUCAUGCACGAAAGCGUGGGGAUCAAA
rnacentral:rRNA from 1 species